UGAGGAAUAUUGGUCAAUGGGCGCAAGCCUGAACCAGCCAAGUAGCGUGAAGGAUGACUGCCCUAUGGGUUGUAAACUUCUUUUAUGCGGGAAUAACCUCGACCAUGUAUGGUCGUUUGCAUGUACCGCAAGAAAAAGCAUCGGCUAAUUCCGUGCCAGCAGCCGCGGUAAUACGGAAGAUGCGAGCGUUAUCCGGAUUUAUUGGGUUUAAAGGGUGCGCAGGCGGCGCGCCAAGUCAGCGGUCAAAGUUCCGGGCUCAACCCGGUGUCGCCGUUGAAACUGGCGUGCUCGAGUGCGUGCGAGGAAGGCGGAAUGCGUUGUGUAGCGGUGAAAUGCAUAGAUAUGACGCAGAACUCCGAUUGCGAAGGCAGCUUUCCAGCGCGCUACUGA
rnacentral:rRNA from 1 species